rnacentral:rRNA from 1 species
CAAAUCUGGAAAUAGCUGGUUCUCUCCGAAAACUAUUUAGGUAGUGCCUCACGUAUCACCUUUGGGGUAGAGCACUGUUAUGGCUAGGGGGGUCAUUGAGACUUACCAAAACCAUUGCAAAACUCCGAAUACCAAAGAGUGCGAGCGUGGGAGACAGACAUCGGGUGCUAACGUCCGGUGUCAAAAGGGAAACAACCCAGACCCUCAGCUAAGGUCCCCAAGACACAGUUAAGUGGGAAAACGAAGUGGGAAGGCAAUAAACAGUCAGGAGGUUGGCUUAGAAGCAGCCACCCUUUAAAGAAAGCGUAAUAGCUCACUGAUCGAGUCGUCCUGCGCGGAAGAUGUAACGGGGCUCAAACUGUAGCACCGAAGCUAGGGAUUUACAUUUAUGUAAAUGGUAGGAGAGCGUUCCGUAGGCCUGUGAAGGUGGCUU